UACGUAUGGUGCAAGCGUUAUCCGGAUUUACUGGGUGUAAAGGGAGCGCAGGCGGCACGGCAAGCCUGAUGUGAAAGCCCGCGGCCCAACCGCGGGACUGCAUUGGGAACUACCGGGCUGGAGUGCCGGAGAGGUAGGCGGAAUUCCGAGUGUAGCGGUGAAAUGCGUAGAUAUUAGGAGGAACACCAGUGGCGAAGGCGGCCUACUGGACGGUGACUGACGCUGAGGCUCGAAAGCGUGGGGAGCAAACAGG
rnacentral:rRNA from 1 species